rnacentral:rRNA from 1 species
CCUACGGGAGGCAGCAGUGGGGAAUAUUGCACAAUGGGGGAAACCCUGAUGCAGCAACGCCGCGUGAGUGAUGACGGUCUUCGGGUUGUAAAGCUCUGUCUUUAGGGACGAUAAUGACGGUACCUAAGGAGGAAGCCACGGCUAACUACGUGCCAGCAGCCGCGGUAAU